GCCUCCGUGGCCUAAUGGAUAAGGCAUCGGCCUCCUAAGCCGGGGAUUGCGGGUUCGACUCCCGCCGGAGGUU
rnacentral:tRNA from 1 species